GACGAACGCUGGCGGCGUGCUUAACACAUGCAAGUCGAACGCUGAAGCUCAGCUUUUGUUGGGUGGAUGAGUGGCGAACGGGUGAGUGACACGUGAGUAACCUGCCCCCUUCUUUGGGAUAACGCCCGGAAACGGGUGCUAAUACUGGAUAUUCACUGGUCUUCGCAUGGGGGUUGGUGGAAAGGGUUUUUCUGGUGGGGGAUGGGCUCGCGGCCUAUCAGCUUGUUGGUGGGGUGACGGCCUACCAAGGCUUUGACGGGUAGCCGGCCUGAGAGGGUGACCGGUCACAUUGGGAAUGAGAUACGGCCCAGACUGCUACGGGAGGCAGCAGUGGGGAAUAUUGCACAAUGGGCGCAAGCCUGAUGCAGCGACGCCGCGUGAGGGAUGGAGGCCUUCGGGUUGUGAACCUCUUUCGCUCAUGGUCAAGCCGAAACAAUGGUUGUGGUGAGGGUAGUGGGUAAAGAAGCGCCAGCUAACUACGUG
rnacentral:rRNA from 1 species